rnacentral:rRNA from 1 species
AUACGUAGGGGGCGAGCGUUGUCCGGAAUGAUUGGGCGUAAAGGGCGCGUAGGCGGCCCGGUAAGUCUGGAGUGAAAGUCCUGUUUUUAAGAUGGGAAUUGCUUUGGAUACUGUCGGGCUUGAGUGCAGGAGAGGUAAGUGGAGUUCCCAGUGUAGCGGUGAAAUGCGUAGAGAUUGGGAGGAACACCAGUGGCGAAGGCGACUUACUGGACUGUAACUGACGCUGAGGCGCGAAAGUGUGGGGAGCAAACAGGAUUAGAUACCCUGGUAGUCCACACUGUAAACGAUGAAUGCUAGGUGUAGGGGGUAUCGACCCCUUCUGUGCCGCAGUCAACACAAUAAGUAUUCCGCCUGGGGAGUACGGCCGCAAGGUUGAAACUCAAAUGAAUUGACGGGG